GUAGUUGUGGCUGAGUGGUUAAGGUGGUGGACUCGAAAUCCCUUGGGGGGGGGGGGGGUCUCCCUGUGCAGGUUUGAACCCUGCCAACUACG